GAUGAACGCUGGCGGCGUGCUUAACACAUGCAAGUCGAACGGACGGGCCCUGCUUUUGUUGCGUGCACGAGUGGCGCACGGGUGAGUAACACGUGAGUAUCCUCUCCCUGUAUUUGGGAUAACUUCAGGAGACUGGGGAUCUUAUCGCAUAGGAGCUCCUGAUGCAUGUUGGGGGUUGGAAAGUUACGGCGGUUGUGGCUGGUCUCGCGGCUUAUCCGCUUGUUGGUGGGGUAGUGGCUUACCAAGGCUUUGACGGGUAGCCGGCCUGAGAGGGUGACCGGCCACAUUGGUACUGAGAUACGGCCCAGACGGCUACGGGCGGCAGCAGUGGGGAAUAUUGCACAACGGGCGGAAGCCUGAUGCAGCAACGCCGCGUGCGGGAUGACGGCCUUCGGGUUAAAAACCGCUGUCGCCGGAGACGAAGCGUGAGUGACGGUAAUGGGUAAAGAAGCACCGGCUAACUACGUG
rnacentral:rRNA from 1 species